rnacentral:lncRNA from 1 species
AUGAUACCAGCACUGGAUAUUGUGUUCCAGGCGUAUUCCCCAGGGGACCUGGAGGAGACCCUGGAGCCCGCCUUCUAUGACUCUUUCUCUUCGGCCUCAAACAUCUCGAGUUCCUCCAUCCAAGAGGAGAUGGGCCAAAUGUUGGGAAGCCAGGUCACUGUCACAGGCCCCGAGGAGGAGGACCAAGGACACCAGGUCCCAGCCUUGACAGAAAACCCUGAGCCCAUGGAGGAACAGGCCAAAGCAGCUCUGGUGCUUGUGGAAGCUCCCGUUCGUGGUCCACCAACUCCACCAUCUGAUAGAGAACUGGAGCUGGAUGAACCUGCAGUGGACCAUCAAGGCCAACACACCCUGCUGGCCAUUCAGUCAGCACUGCAUCCCGAGAGGAACCCUGAGCCUCUGUUCUCCCAGGCCAUUGGUUUAUUUGUUUUUAUUGUUUGUCUUUAUUAUUUUAGGAUUAUUUAAAAUUAAAGAUUUGUUUUCAUUGUUAAAAGUCUCAGUUAUUUGCCAUCAAGUGCCUUCUCUAAACUGUGCACUAGUCACCACUAUGCAGUUCCAGAACGUCUUCCAGAAUUCGGUAUCUAUGAUCACUGCCUCCCCACCCUCCUGCUAGUCCCCAGCGAACCCCUUAGCUUCUAGUCCUGUGAUAUGCUGAGUCUGCAUUUUUUAAGCCAGUGCAGUCUGAUUUCUUCUGGGCUGUGUAAAGUUGGAAGGGACUAAUUAUGUUUCCUUAGAAGGACAAAUGCCAUAGAGAUCUGUGUUUUUUAUGUUUUUUAUUUUUACUUUUUGUUACUGGGCUUCAGCCCAGGGGCACAUUACCACUGAGUUACAUCCAUGGUCUUUUCCUUUUUCAUUUUGUGUCAGCCUCUUGCUGGUUUACUGUGGCUUCCCUAAACUUAAACCCUUUGCCUCAAAGCAGUGUUAUUUGGAAAUAAAAAAACUACUACUACUACUACUACUACUACU